GGCCGGUUAGCUCAGUCGGUUAGAGCAUGGUGCUGAUAACAACAAGGUCGCAGGUUCGAUCCCUGCACGGUCCC
rfam:Apaloderma vittatum contig36298, whole genome shotgun sequence.